CAGCGCUUGGUGGCUGUGCGCGAGGCCCGGGUGGCGCGGAGACGACAGCGGACCGGCCUCGGGGCGGCCGCGGUGCCUGGUGCAAAAGUUCUGGAGCACUAUUUCAGGUGGACCUCUCUUAACUUCUACUGAAACAAUAUCAAAUGAUUCAUACCUUUGAAGAGAGUCACACCCAUUUCAUGCAGAAUCAGCUACAAUAAAGCUAAGUCAGCCAACAAAGAUUUCUUGUGACUAAUUCUCCUGUGGGAAUGAAAGAAGAAGAGAGUAUAUCCUUGUACUUGCUUCAUUUUAGAAUUAGAACAGGGCAGUAUUACAGGGAAGACAGAGUUGAACAAAGUAACAUCCAUGUGAAAGCUCAUGUGGAGAAUUGUUUUAUGGUUCAUAAAAGUGCCUUUGUGAGUUUCCAUUGUUUGGACCUUGGAAUUUUCAGUAAUUGGAUCCUCAGAUAUAGAGUAUGGUUUAUUGUUCUUUAUACCUUGGAUUUGCACUUUAGAAAAUAAAGCCAUCUAAAACCAAAAAAAAAAAAAAAAAAAAAAAAAAAAACCCAAAACCCCAAAAAAAAAAAAAAAA